rfam:Mesocricetus auratus contig196539, whole genome shotgun sequence.
UUUCCAGUCAGGCUCCUGGCUGAAAUCCAGCUCUUAGCUGGAUUCAGGCCAAGCUUGACUGUAAA